rnacentral:lncRNA from 1 species
AAAAUGCUGGGAUUACAGGCAUGAGCCACCACGCCCGGCUUGUGAUUUCUUUAGAAUCAUUCCUAUAGCAAAAUUACUGAGUCAUUCUUUUUAAAGUAUCAUUACGUGUUAUCAAGUGACUUUCCAGAAAGCCAGCAUGCAAUCCCACCAGCAGGCGGAAGAGAAGGCCCUCUUUAAAAACAAUUCCGUUUGAUAGGUGGGAAUACUAUCCCUUUGAGUUGAUUUACAUUUUCUUGAUUACUAGUGAGGUUGAAUUUUUCUUUCAUGCAUCUAUUAGGCAGUUGUAAAUCCAUGAAUAAUUAUCACAGAGAGCAGUGUCAUCAUUCCUGUUAGCACUUAUGUGUGUGUGUGUGUGUGUGUGUGUGUGUGUGUGUUGAUUUUUAGUUUCUUUGUUUUUUUUUCUUUUGAGAUGGAGUCUCGCCCUGUCACCCAGGUUGGAGUACAGUGGCAUAAUCUUGGCUCACUGCAGCCUCCACCUCCCAGGUUCAAGCAAUUCUCCUGCCUCAGCCUCCCGAGUAGCUGGGACUACAGGUGCUCACCACCACACCCAGCUAAUUUUUGUAUUUUUACUAGAGAUGGGAUUUUGCCAUGUUGGCCAGGCUGGUCUUGAACUCCUGACCUCAGGUGAUCCACCCACCUCGGCCUCCCAAAGUGCUGGGAUUACAGGGAUGAGCCACCAUGCCCAGCCUUGAGUUUCAGUCUGGAUGAAGCUACUUUAAGGGUGCAUCAUGGAGGGGAAGAAUGUUUUCAGAUUCAGCAUUUCCCGCAGAACCUCAGUCUUAAUGAGGACUGUGUCCCUGUGGCCCCUCCUUCCUCCCUCUCACCCGCAACCACACUGUGUGGCUCUUGCAGAAUUGCCCCAUCUCAGAGGAAAGGUCAGAGAUUGAGAUUUCCCUUAAACGGAAGCUCAAAUGUGCACUGUCAAGCUGUCCUGGAGAUAGUACAGUUUUAUUCAGGAAGUACCAAACCAAGCCAGCCGGCCCAUGCCCUCUGCUUUCUCUUCUCAGGACACUUACAUUCCUUUUUUCCUCAAGGGAGGUGAGAGUGGGACGGGGGCCAGAAGAAGAAACUCGCUUUCCCGUGAGGCUUGUGGCAGAGGCGGCGUGGCCUUCCCUGCUGAGCUUCUGACUGGGCUCCCCUGACUGAGGAGCCCUGGAGUCCUUGGAGCCAGCGAGGAAUGCACUUUCAUCUCUAGGAGGCUACACAAUCACCUUUGUGUGCCUGGAGCAUCAAGAGGGCAGAAGGUGUAGUCCCCGAGCUGAGGAGAAGCAGGUGCUGGCCAGUUAGUCACUGCACCCUCACUGCUGGCCCCAGCUGUAAGGCUUCUCUCCAGGGACUCUCUCCAGGGCCAAACUCGCUUCUAGGGACUCUCUCCAGGGCCAAACUUGCUCCCGUUUCCCUGCUUCCUCCACUUAAGAUUUUUCUUUCUCUUGGAUCUUUGGCCCACAUACUGGACAUUCAGUUCUGUCACCCAGGCUGGAAUGCAGUGGUGUGAUCUCAGCUCACUGCAGCCUCCGCCUCUUGGGUUCAAGCUAUUCUCGUCCCUCAGCCUCCCAAGUAGCUGGGAUUACAGGCGUGCACCACACCUGGCUAAUUUUUGUAUUUUUAGUAGACACAAGGUUUCACAUUGUUGGCUAGGCGGGUCUUGAACUCCUGGCCUCAGGUGAUCCACCCACCUCAGCCUUCUAAAGUGCUGGGAUUACAGGCAUGAGCCACCUCGCCCAGCCUGGACAUUCAGUUCUAUCAGGUCUUCCCUGAGUGGAGGCAGAGGGGACUUCAAAUCCUCCCUGCAGGUUGGGCAAAUGGAGAAGGUGGAAGCCCAGCCUCAGGAAUGGACAGGAGAACCUUUCCUCAGCCCCUGGACAUGACUCCUGAGUGUCUUACAGCAGGAUCGUGUUUUCAACUCUGUCCUCUACUGAGUCCCCUUUCAAGAGGCCCCCUUCCAUUCUUGUGGGAUGUCCCAGCCCAAGGUGGGGUGGGUGUUCCACUCCAUGAGAAGGUUGGCCAUUUGAAGGGACAGGAAUGAUGAGGUGCAGCAGGAAGCUAAAGGUGGCCCUCCACUUUUGCUGACAGAGCUUCAGUGGCCUCAAAGCAUCAGCCGGGUGCGGUGACUCACGCCUGUAAUCCGAGCACUUUGGGAAGCUGAGGCGCGUGGAUCACGAGGUCAGGGGUUCCAGACCAGCCUGAUCAACUUGGUGAAACCCCAUCUCUACUAAAAAUACAAAAAUUAGAUGGGCGUGGUGGCACAUGCCUGUAAUCUCAGCUACUCAGGAGGUUGAGGCAGGAGAAUUGCUUGAACCCAGGAGGUGGAGGUUGCACUGAUCCGAGAUUACACCAUUGCACUCCAGCCUGGGCAACAUGAGUGAAACUCCGUCUCAAAAAAAAAAAAAAAAAAAAGACAAGCAUCCAAGGACAUUUGCCGGGUAGAGAAGCAGCUAGGAUUAGAGAAACAGAGAUGUAGAAGCCCUUUCAGGGUCAGAACGAGAUAAACGUGGGCUGCAGGCCACGUGAGUGAGCACCCACGGUGCUGUUGAAUUUAGAGGUGGGCUACAACAGACCCGAGGCCCCCAGGAAGGCUUCACAGAGACAACCCCUUGAGGUGAGCCUUGAAGGCAAGAUGUAAGACAUGAAUGGUGGCCUCGCAGAAGCGGAUAUUCCCUCGAGGGGGUGAGAAACAGGCAACACCACAGAGGUGGGAAGGCAGCUGGCGCAUUUGGGAAUUGCCAGAUCGUUCUAGCUGCUACGGAACACGUGCAUAGGGUACCCACCAGGCAGGGCUUUCACCAGAGAAACAGAACCAGUAGGAGAUGGAGCUAUGUGGCAAGAGAUUUACUGCAAAGAAUUGGCUUAUGUGAUUGUAGGGGCUGGCUAGGAAAAUUCUAAAUCCUUGGGGCAGGCCAUUAGGAAGGGCAGACUCGAAACUCAGCCAGGACCUGAAGCAGCCGUUCACAGGGGGAAUUUCUUCUUUGGGGAAGCCUCAGCCUUGUUCUUAUAGUCAUUUAACUGAUUGAAUCAGGCCCACCCAGGACAUCUCAAAUCAUUAACUUAAAGUCAACUUUUUAUUAUUUUUUUUUAGACAAGGUCUUGCCCUGUCACUUAGGCUGGAGUGCAGUGGCACAAUCAUGUCUCACUGCAGCCUCAAUCUCCUGGCCUCAAAUGAUCCUUCCACCUCAGCCUCCUGAGUAGCUGGGAUUACAGGUGCGCACCACCACACCUGGCUAAUUCUUGUAUUUUUUGUAGAAAUGGGGUUUCACCAUGUUGCUCAGGUUGGUCUCCAACUCCUGGGCUCAAGCGAUCUUCCUGCCUCGGCCUCCCAAAGUGCUGGGAUUACAGGUGUGAGGCACUGUGCCCAGCCUAACAUCAACUGAUUAUGAAUGUUAAUCAUAUCUACAAAAUACCUACACAGCAACAACUAGAGUAGCAUUUGAUUGAAUAACUGGAGACUAUAGCUUAGCCAAGUUGACACACAAAACCGACCAUCACAAGUACCAAUCAGAAAGGACAGAGGAGAGCGAGAAUGGGAUCAACAGUGUUUUCCAAAAUGUGAAAUCCUGCUACUAGAGGUCUGUGAGAAGAUGGCACACUCGGUGACUGUUGGAGAUACAGGAGCUUGGUGUUAAGAUAACACUGAUUUGAGAAAGGAAAAGACAACUCCUGUUUAAACCCUCUCUCAGCCCUUCUGAUUAACUGAGAGAAAGUCCCAGUUUGGUGCUGGCUUGACUUUUUUAACAUCUCUAAACUUGUAGAUAACCUCCCUUUUUUAGCAAAAUGAGAAGCUGGUAGUCACCAGCAUUGGGCAGUAUUUAUAAAUAAGAACAUUUUCACCGUAUUUAUGCAUUUAUUUAUUUAUUUUCACAAUUUUCUACACACGGCAAGUAAUCCUGGUUUUCUUUUUUCAUAAUUAAAUAUUUCCUUUUAAAAUAUAUUUAUGGCCGGGCAUGGUGGCUCACACCUGUAAUCCCAAUACUUUGGGAGGCCGAGCCUGGUGGAUCACCCGAGGUCAUGAAUUCGAGACCAGCCUGGCCAACAUGUCGAAACCUCGUCUCUACUAAAAAUACAAAAAUUAGCUGGGUGUGGUGGUGCUCACCUGUAAUCCCAGCUACCCAGAAGGCUGAGGCAGGAGAAUUGCUUGAACCUGGGAGGUGGAGGUUGCAGUGAGCCAAGAUCAUGCCAUUGCAUUCCAGCCUGGGGACAGAGCAAGACUCUGUCUCAAAAAAUAUAUACAAAUAAAUAAAAUAUACUUACUUAGGACAGGGCAAGGUGGCUCAUGCCUGUAAUCCCAGCACUUUGGGAGGCCAAGGCAGGAGGAUCACUUGAGGCCAGGAGUUCAAGACCAGCCUGAACAACUUGGCAAGACCCUGUCUCUAUGAAAAAUUAGCAAAAAUUAGCCAGGUGUGGUGGUGUGCAUCUGUAGUCCCAGCUACUUGGGAGGCUGAGGUGGGAGGAUUGCUUGAGCCCAGGAGGUAGAGGCUACAGUGAGCCAUGAUUGCACCACUGCACUCCAGCCUGAGCAACAGAGCAAGAUCCAGUCUCAAAAAAAAAAAAAAAAAAAAAAAAAAAAAAAAUAUAUAUAUAUAUAUAUAUAUAUAUAAAAUAGGUGUAUAAAUAACAGAAAGAUAACACUUGGAUACAGCCAAAAUCAUGUGGCAAGGACACACAGGGAAACAAACUUAGAAAGCCCAGUUACAGUCAUGAGGGAUGAUGUGGGAUGACAGCAGAAAUGCUCAUAACUGCUGAAGCCAGAUCAUAGUAAAUAAGGGUUUAUUAUACUAUUUUUCUCCACUUUUGUUAUGUUUGAGGAUUUCUAUAAUAAAAGCUAUUUUAAAAAAUUAAGACCGGGCGCGGUGGCUCACGCCUAUAAUCCCAGCACUUUAGGAGGCCGAGGCAGGUGGAUCACGAGGUCAGGAGAUGAAGACCAUCCUGGCUAACACAGUGAAACCCCGUCUCUACUAAAAAUACAAAAAAAAAUUAGCCGGGUGCGGUGGCG